rnacentral:rRNA from 1 species
CACGUAGUUAGCCGGGGCUUCUUACUCAGGUACCGUCUGCUGACCGUAAGGUCAGUGUUUCUUCCCUGCUGAUAGAGCUUUACGUAACGAAUUACUUCUUCACUUACGCGGCGUCGCUGCAUCAGGGUUUCCCCCAUUGUGCAAUAUUCCCCACUGCUGCCUCCCGUAGGAGUCUGGGCCGUGUCUCAGUCCCAAUGUGGCCGUCCGCCCUCUCAGGCCGGCUACUGAUCGUCGCCUUGGUGGGCCGUUACCCCGCCAACAAGCUAAUCAGACGCGGGUCCAUCUUACACCACCGGAGUUUUUCACACCGCUUCAUGCGAAGCUGUGCGCUUAUGCGGUUUUAGCACCUAUUUCUAAGUGUUAUCCCCCUGUGUAAGGCAGGUUACCCACGCGUUACUCACCCGUCCGCCACUAACCCAUAUAUCACUAGGUUUCAAUAUGGGUCCGUUCGACUUGCAUGUGUUAAGCACGCCGCCAGCGUUCAUCCUGAGCCAGGAUCAAACUCU